rnacentral:rRNA from 1 species
AACGAACGCUGGCGGCGUGCCUAACACAUGCAAGUCGAGCGAAUCAGUGGGAGCUUGCUCCCUGAGAUUAGCGGCGGACGGGUGAGUAACAAGUGGGUAUCCUGCCUGUAAGACUGGGAUAACCUGGGGCAACAGGACCUAAUACCGGAUCAGGUCUUUUCUCGCAUGAGGAGAGAUGGAAAGAAGCUUCUGAGAUCCCUUAAGGAUGGACCCGCUGCGAAUUAGCUACUUGGUGAGGUAACGGCUCACCAAGGCGACGAUGCGUAGCCGACCUGAGAGGGUGAUCGGCCACACUGGGACUGAAACACGGCCCGGACUCCCACGGGAGGCAGCAGUAGGGAAUCUUCCGCAAUGGACGAAAGUCUGACGGAGCAACGCCGGGUGAGCGAAGAAGGCCUUCGGGUCGUAAAGCCCUGUUGUUAGGGAAGAACAAUUACGAGAGUAACUGCUCGUACCUUGACGGUACCUAACCAGAAAGCCACGGCUAACUACGUGCCAGCAGCCGCAGUAA